rnacentral:rRNA from 1 species
AUCCUGGCUCAGGACGAACGCUGGCGGCGUGCCUAAUACAUGCAAGUCGAGCGGACAGAUGGGAGCUUGCUCCCUGAUGUUAGCGGCGGACGGGUGAGUAACACGUGGGUAACCUGCCUGUAAGACUGGGAUAACUCCGGGAAACCGGGGCUAAUACCGGAUGGUUGUUUGAACCGCAUGGUUCAAACAUAAAAGGUGGCUUCGGCUACCACUUACAGAUGGACCCGCGGCGCAUUAGCUAGUUGGUGAGGUAACGGCUCACCAAGGCAACGAUGCGUAGCCGACCUGAGAGGGUGAUCGGCCACACUGGGACUGAGACACGGCCCAGACUCCUACGGGAGGCAGCAGUAGGGAAUCUUCCGCAAUGGACGAAAGUCUGACGGAGCAACGCCGCGUGAGUGAUGAAGGUUUUCGGAUCGUAAAGCUCUGUUGUUAGGGAAGAA